GCAUAUCAAUAAGCGGAGGAAAAGAAACCAACAGGGAUUGCCCUAGUAACGGCGAGUGAAGCGGCAACAGCUCAAAUUUGAAAUCUGGCUCUUUCAGAGUCCGAGUUGUAAUUUGCAGAGGGCGCUUUGGCUUUGGCAGCGGUCCAAGUUCCUUGGAACAGGACGUCACAGAGGGUGAGAAUCCCGUACGUGGUCGCUAGCUAUUGCCGUGUAAAGCCCCUUCGACGAGUCGAGUUGUUUGGGAAUGCAGCUCUAAAUGGGAGGUAAAUUUCUUCUAAAGCUAAAUAUUGGCCAGAGACCGAUAGCGCACAAGUAGAGUGAUCGAAAGAUGAAAAGCACUUUGGAAAGAGAGUCAAACAGCACGUGAAAUUGUUGAAAGGGAAGCGCUUGCAGCCAGACUUGCUUGCAGUUGCUCAUCCGGGCUUUUGCCCGGUGCACUCUUCUGCAGGCAGGCCAGCAUCAGUUUGGGCGGUGGGAUAAAGGUCUCUGACACGUUCCUUCCUUCGGGUUGGCCAUAUAGGGGAGACGUCAUACCACCAGCCUGGACUGAGGUCCGCGCAUCUGCUAGGAUGCUGGCGUAAUGGCUGUAAGCGGCCCGUCUGGAAACACGGACC
rnacentral:rRNA from 1 species